GGCUCGGUGGUGUAGUUGGUUAUCACGUCAGUCUAACACACUGAAGGUCCCGAGUUCAAACCUCGGCUGAGUCA